rnacentral:lncRNA from 10 species
AAAGAUUUAGUACUAUAUAAGAUUAUAUGGCUGUAAUUUAGGAAACUAAUACAAUUGAGCCACUAUUCUCAAUGUUUUAGCAAGUUUGCUUCAGUUUACUUUCAUCAUUAUUCAGUAUUAUUCAGAAACUUAAGAGAUACGUUGCUUCCCACUAUAAUGAAACUUUUUUUUCCAUAGAAUUGAAGCCAAAAUAUGUGAAAUGGAUACUGGAGGGCCACAGUUUAUUCAUCACAAGUUUGGGUCUAAAUAUCAGCAAUUUUUUGCAUACCAGCUUCUCUAACUGAAGUGAACUCCAUUUGAAGUAUUUAAUACCUAAACUGAGAAGGCAUGGUGUUCCUAGAAGAGCUUGGUGUCUCCAAGUAGUGGAAUCUGAAAGCCAAUAGGCUCGUCCUCUUUCUGCUAUUGGCUAGAUGGUCAAAGAACAUCUAUUAGUCUGGAAUUUUCAGAAGCACGAACCCACCGGGAGGAACGAGCAACUGCAGACGCGCCGCCUUAAGAGCUGUAACACUCACUGCGAAGGUCUGCAGCUUCACUCCUGAGCCAGCAAGACCACGAACCCACCAGAAGGAAGAAACUCCGAACACAUCCGAACAUCAGUAGGGACAAACUCCGGACACGCAGCCUUUAAGAACUGUAACAUUCACCGCGAGGGUCCGCGGCUUCAUUCUUUAAGUCAGUGAGACCAAGAACCCACCAAUUCCGGACACAGUACUACUGCCUAUCCUCUUAAUCACAGGACAAGGACUCCAAAAAGGUUGAGGAUUCCUAAUUCAAAAUCUGAAAUCUGAAAUGCUCCAAACUCUGACACUUUUUGAAUGCCAACAUCACACCACAAGUUGAAAGUUCCACACGUACGUACUUAAUACAAAAUGAGUUUUAUGCACAGUGUUGUCAGAAAUUACCUUCAGGCUAUGUGUAUAAGCUACAUAUAAACAUAAAUAAAUUUUUUGUUUAGAAUUGGGUCACAUGCCCAAUGUAUCUCAUUGUAUAUAUUCCAAAAUCUGAAAAAAGAAUGGAAAUUCAAAACAUUUCUCAUUUUGGAUAAGGAAUACUCAACCUGUAUUAAAAUAAUUUUUCUUGCAGUAAAAUUUAUACUGCAGGAAAAUGAUAGAGGAUGAAUAGAUAGGCCACACAUAGGUAAAAAUUAAGAUAGCAAUAUAAUAGAGCUCUAUAUAGCUAGACUUAUAUUUAGAUGUUCAUAAAAUAUUGCAUCAUAUAUAAUAAUCUUGUUUUGGAAGAGUGGUAAAAAAGCAAACUUAAUCUAGACUGAAUAAUUUAAAACUCUGCUUUAAGUAUUUUGCAAGGAGUCCACUGCUUCUGCACUCAUUUAAUUCUCACACCUCUCAUGUCAGAAAUUGAUGAACUUAAUUUAAGGAAGAUAGUAGUAAGAAGGUGAAUUAACUUCUCAAUUACCAGAGGUUUCACUGGUCCAUAGCAGUCUUAAUAAUAGUUACUGUUAGGACCUCAUGGCUUUAGAUACUGAUUAAAGCUUUCAAAAGGAAUAAAUUACUACUCAAAUAUAUUUAAAGAGCAAAAUCCUCUAGAGAAAAAAAGAAAUGAAGCUCCUUAAUAGUCAGAAAUUUCUAUCUAAUUUUAAAAUUAAUUCUAUUCUGCAAUGUAAGAUUUUUUCUCUUUUCUAAUUUUUAUGAAUAAACAACAAUUAUACAUAUGUAUGGGAUCCAUGUGAUAUUUUGAUACAUGCAUCCAAUGUUUAAUGAUCAAAUGUUUAUAAUAACCCAAAAAUAGAAAAUUCUGAGGACAAUAUACUAGAAAAAAAAUGAACCUAAAUCAGUGCCUCUGCAGGAAUAAUUCAUUAACCACUUACACUUAUUAUUAGCUCUUAUGGCAAGUUGUAAACUAGAACACUGAAAAAUAAAAGAUUGACAUGGAAAGGACUGGUAAAGUAAAAAGAACCAUUUUUCUGGUAACUUGCCUCCUCACACCGAGAAACCAAAAUUGUAGGAACUGCAACAGUUUGUAACUGUUCUGAAUUCCAUCUCUGAUGCUGGAAUCAUAGAAGUAGGUUCUAAGAGUUUUUUUUCAAUAUCCCUCCUAGUAUCUUUCCCCAACAUCUAUGUUUUCAAAAAAUAACAUUCAUAGCAUUGUUUCUCCACUGUAGAACUGGCUCAUGAUCUUUUUUUCACUGAAGUUGUCUGGGUAAGAAGUCUGGGGACAAUGUGCUGUCCUGGGAGUGAUCUCUUCUAUAGCAGAAUUGAUGAAUUAUUAUAGUUCUUGAAAUGAUUGUUCAUCCAGGGUUCUAUGUGACAAUGGUAACUGCCUUAAAGAAGUCUAGCCAUCAUAACACUGCCAUGUUUUCCCUACUCCAAACCCAUAUAGGAGAGAAUAGUUUAUUAUGGCAAAUGCUUUUGUCCUAACUCCUUAAUAUUUUAUAUUCCAAUUGUUACUAAAUAUUAAUACCUCAGUAGGCCAGAAUAGAUGAAAAAGAGGUAUUCUGCUGUGUUCACAUUAGUCACAAUUCACAUGUUAGUUAGGUAUAUCUUAUGGACAAUAAUUUUAAUGUGGCCAAAUAUAAUUCCAGGAGUUAGGUGUUAACCAUACUUCAAUAAAAUACUGUGUCUUUUUGUAGGUAUGAGGAACUUCCUAUUAGAAAAGUGAUUUAUUUUGAGAUAUAAUCUAUACUGUAACAGCUACAUGGACAAAGAACUAAAAGUAAAUUGGACAAAAUGAAUAAAGAGCAAAAUACAUGUUGACUCUGAUGAAAAUAAUGUCUGAGUGAUAAGAGCUGCUUAAGCAAGUUAGGCUUCAUUUUUGUAUGAAUUGAUUAAAUUCUUAUCACUGGAGGCAGUGAAAGGGAAGGGGACUUUUAAAGGAUUCUGUUUAGGGAACAGCUUUGAGCUCUUCAGCAAUCUUAGAGUAAGUAAAUCACAUGUAAUUUAAAAUUUUCUUUCCAAAUAUUAUGAAGGUAAAAAGUCAAUAAAUAUUAAGUUAUAAAAUAUACCUGUGGGAUCAUAAUUUCUGUAGUAAAUAUUUGAGAAACAAACAGUCAGAGACUUAAUUUAUAUGCAAGACAAUGAUUUAAAUACUGACAGCAAUUUAUGGGGUCUAAUAAGUUUUCUGUUUUCCAAAUCAGUUUGACUUAUAUUACCCCAUCUAAUCAUUACUUUGUGAAACCAAGAUAAAUGUGUUGGCAUCAUUAUCAUCUCAUUUACCUGAACUAAGAAAUUUGAGCAAAGAGAAAUUAUGUGACUUACCCGACAUUACACAAGUGAUAGAGUUGACACCACCAUCUUAAAAUCUCUACCUUUUAGUUGUGUUUUUCUCCUGGUGUAAAAUGCUGCUCUCCUUUUUAAUUAUUAGGAAUAUUGAAUGAGACUGGCUUGUUGUUAUUUGUAUCAGAUGAAUUAGAAAUCAGUUUCAUUAUUAUUUGCUUUGGACCCAUUUGCUUA